AUUGAACGCUGGCGGCAGGCCUAACACAUGCAAGUCGAGCGGAUGAAGCGUGCUUGCUCCUGGAUUCCGCGGCGGACGGGUGUGUAAUGCCUAGGAAUCUGCCUGCUAGUGGGGGAUAACGUCCGCAAACGGGCGCUACUACCGCCUACGUCCUGCGGGAGCUGCUGGGGGAUCUUCGGAACUCACGCUCGCAGAUGAGCCUAGGCCGGAUGAGCUAGUUGGUUGGGUAAAGGCCUACCAAGGCGGCCAUCCGCAACUGGUCUGAUAGGAUGAUCAGCCACACUGGAGCUGAGACACGGACCAGAGGCCUAAGAGAGGGAGCAGUGGGGUAUAUUAGACAAUAGUGGAGAGCCUGAUCCAGUGGUGCCGCGUGUGUGGAGAAGGUGUUCGGAGUGUAAAGCAGUUUAAGUUGGGGGAAAGGGCAUUAAGUUAAUACCUUGCGGUUGUGACGUUACCAGGAAAAUAAGCACCGGCUAACUACGUG
rnacentral:rRNA from 1 species